AGCGAACGCUGGCGGCAGGCCUAACACAUGCAAGUCGAACGAAGUCUUCGGACUUAGUGGCGGACGGGUGAGUAACACGUGGGAACGUGCCUUUAGGUUCGGUAUAACUCAGGGAAACUUGUGCUAAUACCGAAUGUGCCCUUCGGGGGAAAGAUUUAUCGCCUUUAGAGCGGCCCGCGUCUGAUUAGCUAGUUGGUGAGGUAAAGGCUCACCAAGGCGACGAUCAGUAGCUGGUCUGAGAGGAUGAUCAGCCACAUUGGGACUGAGACACGGCCCAAACUCCUACGGGAGGCAGCAGUGGGGAAUCUUGCGCAAUGGGCGAAAGCCUGACGCAGCCAUGCCGCGUGAAUGAUGAAGGUCUUAGGAUUGUAAAAUUCUUUCACCGGGGACGAUAAUGACGGUACCCGGAGAAGAAGCCCCGGCUAACUUCGUGCCAGCCGCCGCGGUAA
rnacentral:rRNA from 1 species